GACGGGGGUAGCAAGCGUUAUUCGGAAUCACUGGGCGUAAAGCGUCUGUAGGUGGUGAUGCAAGUCACUGGUGCAAAACUCUGGCUCAACCGGAGGAAAGCCAGUGAAACUGCAUGACUAGAGUGUGGGAGAGGUAGAAGGAAUUCCCUGAGUAGCGGUGUAACGCGUUGAUACAGGGAAGAACACCGGAGGCGAAAGUGUUCUACUGGAACACAACUGGCGCUGAGAGACGAAAGCUAGGGGAGCGAAUGGG
rnacentral:rRNA from 1 species